rnacentral:rRNA from 1 species
CCUACGGGAGGCAGCAGUGGGGAAUUUUGGACAAUGGGCGCAAGCCUGAUCCAGCAAUGCCGCGUGAGUGAAGAAGGCCUUCGGGUUGUAAAGCUCUUUUGUCAGGGAAGAAACGGCUGAGGAUAAUACCUUUGGCUAAUGACGGUACCUGAAGAAUAAGCACCGGCUAACUACGUGCCAGCAGCCGCGGUAAUACGUAGGGUGCAAGCGUUAAUCGGAAUUACUGGGCGUAAAGCGUGCGCAGGCGGUUUUGUAAGUCUGACGUGAAAUCCCCGGGCUCAACCUGGGAAUUGCGUUGGAGACUGCAAGGCUGGAGUCUGGCAGAGGGGGGUAGAAUUCCACGUGUAGCAGUGAAAUGCGUAGAGAUGUGGAGGAACACCGAUGGCGAAGGCAGCCCCCUGGGUCAAGACUGACGCUCAUGCACGAAAGCGUGGGGAGCAAACAGGAUUAGAUACCUUGGUAGUCCACGCCCUAAACGAUGUCUACUAGUUGUCGGGUCUUAAUUGACUUGGUAACGCAGCUAACGCGUGAAGUAGACCGCCUGGGGAGUACGGUCGCAAGAUUAAAACUCAAAGGAAUUGACGG